rnacentral:lncRNA from 1 species
AAACUGGAACUUAAUCAAUUCCGAUUUAUCCGAGCGGUUGCCAAUUAGACCACUCGAUUUUUACUUCAAUGUUGUGGAGAGAGAGCAGAAUAAAGUAGGAGAUAUAGAGCCCUCAUCUGUUGGGAGAGAAACAAUGAAGAGAGAGCCAAGCAAAGAGAGAGAGAGGGGUAUAGAGAUUGUGGAGAGAGAGAGAGCAAGACAAAGAGUGACGGGGGUAGAUAGAGAGCGCGUAGAGUAGAGAGAUCCGAUGAGAGAGAGACCGAGACAGAGAGAAGCUUGAAAAGGGAGAAAAAAUUGAGGAUAGAACAUACCUGAGAAAGUGAGUGGACAUGGCGACGACCCGAGCUGAGAGAUCCACAUGAACCCAAGAGAAAGGGAUUAUGGGGAGAGGAGAGAAGGAAAGGGAAGUGAAGAG